GCUUCCUUAGCUCAGUUGGUAGAGCAGCGGGUUUAUACUCCGUAGCAACAGAUAAUUGGCUGGUCGCGGGUUCGAGUCCCGCAGGAAGCA
rnacentral:tRNA from 1 species